rnacentral:rRNA from 1 species
UGCAAGUCGAGCGGUAGAGAGAAGCUUGCUUCUCUUGAGAGCGGCGGACGGGUGAGUAAUGCCUAGGAAUCUGCCUGGUAGUGGGGGAUAACGUUCGGAAACGGACGCUAAUACCGCAUACGUCCUACGGGAGAAAGCAGGGGACCUUCGGGCCUUGCGCUAUCAGAUGAGCCUAGGUCGGAUUAGCUAGUUGGUGGGGUAAUGGCUCACCAAGGCGACGAUCCGUAACUGGUCUGAGAGGAUGAUCAGUCACACUGGAACUGAGACACGGUCCAGACUCCUACGGGAGGCAGCAGUGGGGAAUAUUGGACAAUGGGCGAAAGCCUGAUCCAGCCAUGCCGCGUGUGUGAAGAAGGUCUUCGGAUUGUAAAGCACUUUAAGUUGGGAGGAAGGGCAGUAAAUUAAUACUUUGCUGUUUUGACGUUACCGACAGAAUAAGCACCGGCUAACUCUGUGCCAGCAGCCGCGGUAAUACAGAGGGUGCAAGCGUUAAUCGGAAUUACUGGGCGUAAAGCGCGCGUAGGUGGUUCGUUAAGUUGGAUGUGAAAUCCCCGGGCUCAACCUGGGAACUGCAUUCAAAACUGACGAGCUAGAGUAUGGUAGAGGGUGGUGGAAUUUCCUGUGUAGCGGUGAAAUGCGUAGAUAUAGGAAGGAACACCAGUGGCGAAGGCGACCACCUGGACUGAUACUGACACUGAGGUGCG